rnacentral:rRNA from 1 species
AGAGUUUGAUCCUGGCUCAGAUUGAACGCUGGCGGCAGGCUUAACACAUGCAAGUCGAGCGGAAACGAUGGGAGCUUGCUCCCAGGCGUCGAGCGGCGGACGGGUGAGUAACGCGUAGGAAUCUACCCAGUAGAGGGGGAUAGCCCGAGGAAACUCGGAUUAAUACCGCAUACGCCCUAAGGGGGAAAGGCCGGGAUCUUCGGACCGGUCACUAUUGGAUGAGCCUGCGUAAGAUUAGCUAGUUGGUAGGGUAAAGGCCUACCAAGGCGACGAUCUUUAGCUGGUCUGAGAGGAUGAUCAGCCACACUGGAACUGAGACACGGUCCAGACUCCUACGGGAGGCAGCAGUGGGGAAUAUUGGACAAUGGGGGAAACCCUGAUCCAGCCAUGCCGCGUGUGUGAAGAAGGCCUUAGGGUUGU